CUGUUGGUGUCUUAGUUUACUGUGCGCCUAUGCAGUGAGCUGGGAACCACUGCAGGGAAGACACACAAGCAAAGCUAUCAAAUAAACGGCUAUUUUUGGACUAACUCACCGCAUGUCCCUUGGUACGUCAAUGUGAUCAGGAGGCCUUUGGACCAGGCCUCUGGACCUGGCCUUUGGACUACGACUUUGGACCAGCGUGGUGCAUGCUUUCUUUUUCAGCGCAGGCAAACGUGGGGAGCUCGAAAGAAGUGCGGGACCGGGGGGAUCGGGGAUAAACAAGCGGUAAUGGACAAGCGGAGAACGGGAGAGGAAUCACGAGCCGAGGUCAAAGGGCACAAGCGAAAUUACCAGAGCAUAUAGCUGGUGAAGUUAUGCCC